GGUGCUGCAUGGCUGUCGUCAGCUCGUGUCGUGAGAUGUUGGGUUAAGUCCCGCAACGAGCGCAACCCUCGCCUUUAGUUGCCAUCACGUUUGGGUGGGCACUCUAAAGGAACUGCCGGUGACAAGCCGGAGGAAGGUGGGGAUGACGUCAAGUCCUCAUGGCCCUUAUGUCCUGGGCUACACACGUGCUACAAUGGCGGUGACAGUGGGAAGCUAGGUGGUGACACCAUGCUGAUCUCUAAAAGCCGUCUCAGUUCGGAUUGCACUCUGCAACUCGAGUGCAUGAAGGUGGAAUCGCUAGUAAUCGCGGAUCAGCAUGCCGCGGUGAAUACGUUCCGGGUCUUGUACACAC
rnacentral:rRNA from 1 species